CAUGCAGACACAGACACAAGAAAGUGUGUCAAAGGUUUUUAUUUGUGAGCAUGAAUAAUGCUCUAAAAAUAUAUACAAUUUUUGUUUGAUGUUCAAUAAAUAUGGCACAUGAAACCGAUAUACAUAUUAAAAAAGUCAGACAUGGAAAUCCAGUUGUAUUACAUAUACACAAGCAUUGUUUGUCAUAAAGUAACAAUUUAAAAUAUUUCAUCAGCCACUAUAUAUAUUCACAGAUUCCGAGAUAAAGGAAUUGACCUAGGGACUUAUUCACUAAACAAAUUGCAGUGUAUGGGGAAAAAAAACAAACAAAAACCCACAAUUGGGUAAAUUUGCCAUAAUUCAUAGUCUAGGGAAUAAAUCCAAAACGGUGCUUUGUCUUCUCCAAGUGUUAUGUUUUUUUUUUUUUUUAAAUAAAAUUCAUUUAAGCUAUACAUUAGGUUGCUUAAUAGACACUUCUGAAAAAAAUGUGUUUAACAUCAAGCACAGCCUAUGUUGCUGGUAAAUACAUUUUACAUCAAUAAGGUGGUCAGAAUUCAUAACAAAGCAACUUCUGAAUAUGUUACUUUCUUCCGUUGAACAGUAGAAGGCCCAGGUCUAACGAGAAGACUUGUAGUGUAAGAAAAUCGCUCCAGAUUCUGUCUUUCAGAAGUUGCAAUAUUGCGUUUUAAGCAAGGAAUAAACAAAGGUCAUGAUCAUGCUGCAGACAAACAGAUUAUAAGCAGAACACAUCCACAAUUGUGUUUUGCAAUAUUACACUAUUCUAUGCAACACAGUUACAUACACAAAACAAAAACACUGUAGUUUCAUGAUAAUGUUCUUUAGUUAUGUGCGCUUUAUUGUAUCUGCAGGCUCACAAACCUCCGUUAAUUUAUUAUCUUACUCGGUCAAUGUAAACUUAAUUCACAAUCUGCAAAAAAGGAUGGACCACACGCAGUGGCGGAUCGAGGGGGGGGGCAACGGGGCAAUUGCCCCCCCCGAGAAAUCCGCCGGUCUCCCUCUCCCUCCCCUGCCAGCAUGGCAGGCACUGUGCUGAGAGCCGGCAGGGGAGGGAGGGAGUGAGAGAGAGGACCCGG